rnacentral:lncRNA from 1 species
CGGGAAACAAGGCGCUGGCGAUACAUGCCUGGAAGGCUGGCACCGGCAUCUCUCAGAUGGGCCCAGGGCGUCCCGCCGCCGCCGAAACAGAGCUUCCCGCGGGCCCCGCAGAGUCCCAGGCAGGGCCGGGAUCUGGCCCCCAGCCCCGCGUCACGCGCGCGGCUUCCCCGGGGGCGGCCAGAGCGUGCGCGUGCCGGAGGAGGCCCCCGCCGCCCGCCAGCUGCUGGAAGACCUCAGGCGGCGGCUGGCGAGCGCCUUCCAGCGGGCGGCGGCGCGCGAGCAGCAGAGCCGGGCGUGCUUCGAGGGCGCACUGGGCCGGCUGAGCGCCGAGCUGGAACAUUGUCACAUGAGAUUGUAAAGCUUGCACCUGCUGCAGCCACCCUGUGACCGAGGUGGGAGAUAUAUGGACACUUUGAGGAU